rnacentral:rRNA from 1 species
UACGGAGGGUGCAAGCGUUAUCCGGAAUUAUUGGGCGUAAAGCGUCCGCAGGUGGUUAUCCAAGUCUGCUGUUAAAGCGCGAGGCUUAACUUCGUACAGGCAGUGGAAACUGGGUGACUGGAGUAUGGUAGGGGUAGCGGGAAUUCCCAGUGUAGCGGUGAAAUGCGUAGAUAUUGGGAAGAACACCAGCGGCGAAAGCGCGCUACUGGGCCAUUACUGACACUCAUGGACGAAAGCUAGGGGAGCGAAAGGG